rnacentral:rRNA from 1 species
GACGAACUGUCCUAACGUUGUUCGGAAUCACUGGGCUUAAAGGGCGCGUAGGCGGUCCGACAAGUCAGGGGUGAAAUCCUGCAGCUCAACUGUAGAAGUGCCUUUGAUACUGUCGGUCUUGAGGGAAAUAGGGGUGUGCGGAACUUCCAGUGGAGCGGUGAAAUGCGUUGAUAUUGGAAGGAACGCCGGAGGCGAAAGCGGCGCACUGGAUUUCUUCUGACGCUGAGGCGCGAAAGCUAGGGGA